rnacentral:rRNA from 1 species
UCCCAUGCCGAACUCAGAAGUGAAACGCCGUAGCGCCGAUGGUAGUGUGGGGUCUCCCCAUGCGAGAGUAGGGAACUGCCAGGC